AAUCAAGCUUGCAAGAAUUGCCACA
rnacentral:piRNA from 1 species